UACGAAGGGGGCUAGCGUUGCUCGGAAUCACUGGGCGUAAAGGGUGCGUAGGCGGGUCUUUAAGUCAGGGGUGAAAUCCUGGAGCUCAACUCCAGAACUGCCUUUGAUACUGAGGAUCUUGAGUUCGGGAGAGGUGAGUGGAACUGCGAGUGUAGAGGUGAAAUUCGUAGAUAUUCGCAAGAACACCGGUGGCGAAGGCGGCUCUCUGGACCGAGACUGACGCUGAGGCGCGAAAGCGUGGGGAGCAAACAGG
rnacentral:rRNA from 1 species